GAUGAACGCUGGCGGCGUGCCUAAUACAUGCAAGUCGAGCGAACAGACGAGGAGCUUGCUCCUCUGACGUUAGCGGCGGACGGGUGAGUAACACGUGGAUAACCUACCUAUAAGACUGGGAUAACUUCGGGAAACCGGAGCUAAUACCGGAUAAUAUAUUGAACCGCAUGGUUCAAUAGUGAAAGACGGUUUUGCUGUCACUUAUAGAUGGAUCCGCGCCGCAUUAGCUAGUUGGUAAGGUAACGGCUUACCAAGGCAACGAUGCGUAGCCGACCUGAGAGAGUGAUCGGCCACACUGGAACUGAGACACGGUCCAGACUCCUACGGGAGGCAGCAGUAGGGAAUCUUCCGCAAUGGGCGAAAGCCUGACGGAGCAACGCCGCGUGAGUGAUGAAGGUCUUCGGAUCGUAAAACUCUGUUAUUAGGGAAGAACAAAUGUGUAAGUAACUAUGCACGUCUUGACGGUACCUAAUCAGAAAGCCACGGCUAACUAUGUG
rnacentral:rRNA from 1 species